rnacentral:lncRNA from 1 species
UUUAUAAACUUCUUGAAAUAGCUGAACUUAAAUUACAAAAGUUAUACUUCUGUCUCUGCAGUUGUAUUUGAAAAAGCAAAGAUACAGAAGGAUUGCAUAACCGCAAAGAACCAUGACCAUGAUCAUAACCAACAAGUCUCACCUCAACAAUUUUGGGGUCAGCAUGCCCAUCAAAUUCUAACUUUUCAAACAACAUGAACUAAUCCUUUCUCGUAGCUUCCAUGCAUAUCCUCCUUGGCCUUCACUUGCUUCUUACAAGGCCUUUGUUUUUUCUAGCAUAUGACUAAAGCAUGCAUAAUACCCAACAUUGUAGGUUUUGACUAACAACCAAAAGAAAGUGCUUGAUAUGAAUGAAAUGCAAACAGUGACACUACCAGUUACAAACUUUGUGGCAAUCUUAUAAAUAUUAUCUCUGAUAGUCAUUUAGUUGAAUAUUUUACACUAUUCUUAUAUAAAUGAUAUUUGGCACACAUUAAUAACAUAAUGGUAUACACUUGCCAACAGAUACAUAUCAACAAAAGAACUUGUGCCAAUCAUUUAUAGCUAAUGUACAAAACUGCAUCAAUUAUUAUGGGAUUAAAAAUAUGAGGCACAUUAUAGAGGAAAAGAUGAUCGAACAGAUACUAAUAAAAAUGGCGAGAAACACACAUAAUAAAAUUCGGUUUACAUUGAAAAGGCCGGCAAUGAAGGUAAUUUUAUUGCUUUAACAACUGAUGGAAAGAGAAAAAAUAGACUACCAUAUGAUGUAAUUUUGUGGGGGCAUGAAAGAAUAAAGGUGGACUUGAAUAGUAAUAUCAUAAUUUCUGAAAAUCCAUAUUAUGUGGCAAAGCCAACAUCAUAAGAAAUUGCAGCAAGAAACGUGAAUUGGUAAUCAUACUUCACAUACACCCACAAUCAACAGCCAUAUAUCUUUAAUUGGUCAAAAGUGGACUUGUUCAUGAUAUUUAGGAUGGCAAAUUAUGGCGUAUGUUAUGGUAGAUGAAAUAUAAUUGAUUGCUGAGAUGAGGACAAGAUAAAAGAUAAACUGGUAAAGCAAUAAGGCAAAAAAGAUCAACAUAAUAGUUCAUACCACAAGUAAUUGGCUUCAUUUUCAAUCCAUUUUGCAAGAAAAUCGAGAAGCAUAUAAAGACCUAUUUAAUAAAGAUGAAGCUGAGCAGAUGAAAAGGCUUGAUGUUUUUUUGGGUCUUAUAUAACUGUGACAUGUCUUGGUUACUUAAUGGCAGCACUAAAGUUCACUAGGUUGUAUGGUUUAGAAUAUUAGGCAAUAACGUGAGCCCAAGCUCAUGAGAUGAAUGUGGCAAAGAUGAGAACAUUGAGAUGAAUCUGUGGUAAAAGUCGAGAGAGGAAAAAUUAACAGCUACAUUAAAGGAUGGAUAGUAGUUGACAAAUUGGCAAGAUCUACACUACAUUGAACCCAUCAACAUAAAUACCAAGGACAAAUGUAUCACAGAUUCUCAGAAAAUACUAGGAAUCAUACUAUAUGUACAAGUAGUACAAGCGUUUGAUUGUACUUGCACAGUAAAAAAUGAAGGUUAAACAUGCCAAAAACAAUUAUCUUUUGUGGAAUCAUUAAAAUUGUUUGCAGGGUUAUCAAGAUAAUAGUGGCAAAUCACCUAACAAAUCCUGCGCAACAUUAGUACAUCAUUAUCUUGCUUAAAUGUCUGAGAAAAGACAUCAAGAUUUGAGGAUGCAUGAAGACCAUUCAAGCACACAAAAAUUUGAGUGAGUAGGC